rnacentral:rRNA from 1 species
AGCGAACGCUGGCGGCAGGCCUAACACAUGCAAGUCGAACGAACCCUUCGGGGUUAGUGGCGGACGGGUGAGUAACACGUGGGAACGUGCCUUUAGGUUCGGAAUAACUCAGGGAAACUUGUGCUAAUACCGAAUGUGCCCUUCGGGGGAAAGAUUUAUCGCCUUGAGAGCGGCCCGCGUCUGAUUAGCUAGUUGGGGAGGUAAUGGCUCACCAAGGCUACGAUCAGUAGCUGGUCUGAGAGGAUGACCAGCCACAUUGGGACUGAGACACGGCCCUAACUCCUACGGGAGGCAGCAGUGGGGAAUCUUGCGCAAUGGGCGAAAGCCUGACGCAGCCAUGCCGCGUGGAUGAUGAGGGUCUUAGGAUUGUAAAAUCCUUUCACCGGUGAAGAUAAUGACUGUAGCCGGAGAAGAAGCCCCGGCUAACUUCGUGCCAGCCGCCGCGGUAAUAC